rnacentral:rRNA from 1 species
CCUACGGGUUGCAGCAGUGGGGAAUAUUGCACAAUGGGCGCAAGCCUGAUGCAGCCAUGCCGCGUGUGUGAAGAAGGCCUUAGGGUUGUAAAGCACUUUCAGUUGUGAGGAAAGGUUAGUAGUUAAUACCUGCUAGCUGUGACGUUAGCAACAGAAGAAGCACCGGCUAACUCCGUGCCAGCAGCCGCGGUAAUACGGAGGGUGCGAGCGUUAAUCGGAAUUACUGGGCGUAAAGCGUACGCAGGCGGUUUGUUAAGCGAGAUGUGAAAGCCCCGGGCUCAACCUGGGAACUGCAUUUCGAACUGGCAAACUAGAGUGUGAUAGAGGGUGGUAGAAUUUCAGGUGUAGCGGUGAAAUGCGUAGAGAUCUGAAGGAAUACCGAUGGCGAAGGCAGCCACCUGGGUCAACACUGACGCUCAUGUACGAAAGCGUGGGGAGCAAACGGGAUUAGAUACCCGUGUAGUC